rnacentral:snoRNA from 1 species
AGAGCAUGACGAUCUAUUGUUAUUGGUCCGUGUUUCUGAUCCUUCGUGAAUGAGAAACCAUACCUAUAUUUCUGACUCU